rnacentral:rRNA from 1 species
GACGAACCGUGCGAACGUUGUUCGGAAUCACUGGGCUUAAAGGGCUCGUAGGCGGUCUGUUGCGUCCGCUGUGAAAACCCGGGGCUUAACCCCUGGCUUGCAGUGGAUACGGACAGACUAGAGGUAGGUAGGGGAGAAUGGAAUUCCCGGUGUAGCGGUGAAAUGCGCAGAUAUCGGGAGGAACACCGGUGGCGAAGGCGGUUCUCUGGGCCUUACCUGACGCUGAGGAGCGAAAGCGUGGGGAGCGAACAGG